rnacentral:rRNA from 1 species
GUUUAGCCGGCGCGGUAACACCGGCAGCUCUAGUGGUAGCAGUUUUUAUUGGGCCUAAAGCGUCCGUAGCCGGUUUAAUAAGUCUCUGGUGAAAUCCUGCAGCUUAACUGUGGGAAUUGCUGGAGAUACUAUUAGACUUGAGAUCGGGAGAGGUUAGAGGUACUCCCAGGGUAGAGGUGAAAUUCUGUAAUCCUGGGAGGACCGCCUGUUGCGAAGGCGUCUGACUGGAACGAUUCUGACGGUGAGGGACGAAAGCUAGGGGCGCGAACCGGAUUAGAUACCCGGGUAGUCCUAGCUGUAAACGAUGCGGACUUGGUGUUGGGGUGGCUUUGAGCUGUCCCAGUGCCGAAGGGAAGCUGUUUGUCCGCCGCCUGGAAGUACGGUCGCAAGACAUGUCUUUAGGUUGGCGCCGGAUCUCCCUUACGCUCGCUUGUU